UGCAGGGUUGUCGUCAGCUCGUGUCGUGAGAAUGUGGGGUUAAGUCCCGCAACGAGCGCAACCCUUAUAUUAGUUUGUAAGCAUAAGUCGGGCACUCUGGUGAGACUGCCGGUACAAACCGGAGGAAGGUGGGGACGACGUCAAAUCAUCAUGCCCCUUAUGACCUGGGCUACACACGUGCUACAAUGGAUGGUACAACGAGUUGCGAACUCGCGAGAGUAAGCUAAUCUCUUAAAGCCAUUCUCAGUUCGGAUUGUAGGCUGCAACUCGCCUACAUGAAGUCGGAAUCGCUAGUAAUCGCGGAUCAGCAUGCCGCGGU
rnacentral:rRNA from 2 species